UUAGCAGAUCAGACACUCAGGUCUGGGACAACAUGUCCUGAAGGGCAUCUCUAGGUUCCCCCUCCAGGGCCUUGGGUGCUGCCCUGCCUCCUCUGCUGAUGGCUGCCUACCCCCCACCACCAGAGCAGCAGAGUUCCCUUCAGCAGCUUUCAGGGGCUGGAAGGAAAGUGGGCUGCCUCUCCCCACAGAUUCCCAGGAAUUUGCAGUACAAGACUGCAGUUUACUAAUUCUUGGGUUAUUCGUUCAUCAUUUAAUAAUCUAUCUGCAAAGCAUGCUAAAUCCAUGGGGAAGGGAUGAGGAGAGUUGACCCUUAAAAUCAACCUGAUGCAGAGCAGAAACAUAACCACCAGGAUGGAUGAACCAGUAAGAAGUCGCUGUAACUUCUAAAGGGCUGAGUACAGCCCAGGACUGCAUCUGGGAGAGCACCACUUGAAUUGCUCACCCCUGAAACAACGCAGGAGGACAUUCAUUGGUCAGGCUCAUACAAGUUUCCAAUCUGCUUGACUGGUAUGUCUCUUCCUACAAACCAGCUCAUCGGCAUUAUAGUCUUGAUCAGUUCUUGG
rnacentral:lncRNA from 1 species